rnacentral:rRNA from 1 species
CCUACGGGAGGCAGCAGUGAGGAAUAUUGGUCAAUGGUCGCGAGCCUGAACCAGCCAAGUAGCGUGAGGGAUGAAUGCCCUACGGGUUGUAAACUUCUUUUGUCAAGGAAUAAAGUGAGGCACGUGUGCCUUUUUGUAUGUACUUUAUGAAUAAGCAUCGGCUAACUCCGUGCCAGCAGCCGCGGUAAUACGGAGGAUCCGAGCGUUAUCCGGAUUUAUUGGGUUUAAAGGGAGCGUAGAUGGGUUGUUAAGUCAGUUGUGAAAGUUUGCGGCUCAACCGUAAGAUUGCAAUUGAUACUGGCAGUCUUGAGUACAGGUGAGGUAGGCGGAAUGCGUGGUGUAGCGGUGAAAUGCAUAGAUAUCACGAAGAACUCCGAUUGCGAAGGCAGCAUACUAAA